UUGGACCUGAUAUCAGGCAAGAUUACCCGCUGAACUUAAGCAUAUCAAAGCCGGGAGGAAA
rnacentral:rRNA from 1 species